rnacentral:rRNA from 1 species
GACGAACGCUGGCGGCGUGCCUAAUACAUGCAAGUAGAACGCUGAAGAGAGGAGCUUACUCUUCUUGGAUGAGUUGCGAACGGGUGAGUAACGCGUAGGUAACCUGCCUUGUAGCGGGGGAUAACUAUUGGAAACGAUAGCUAAUACCGCAUAACAAUGGAUGACACAUGUCAUUUAUUUGAAAGGGGCAAUUGCUCCACUACAAGAUGGACCUGCGUUGUAUUAGCUAGUAGGUGAGGUAAUGGCUCACCUAGGCGACGAUACAUAGCCGACCUGAGAGGGUGAUCGGCCACACUGGGACUGAGACACGGCCCAGACUCCUACGGGAGGCAGCAGUAGGGAAGCUUCGGCAAUGGGGGCAACCCUGACCGAGCAACGCCGCGUGAGUGAAGAAGGUUUUCGGAUCGUAAAGCUCUGUUGUAAGUCAAGAACGGGUGUGAGAGUGGAAAGUUCACACUGUGACGGUAGCUUACCAGAAAGGGACGGCUAACUACGUG